CGCACGGGUGAGUAAUACAUCGGAACGUGUCUUCUAGUGGGGGAUAACUGCCCGAAAGGGCAGCUAAUACCGCAUGAGACCUGAGGGUGAAAGCGGGGGAUCGCAAGACCUCGCGCUGGAAGAGCGGCCGAUGUCCGAUUAGCUAGUUGGUGAGGUAAAGGCUCACCAAGGCGACGAUCGGUAGCCGACCUGAGAGGGUGACCGGCCGCAUUGGGACUGAGACACGGCCCAA
rnacentral:rRNA from 1 species